UUAGUACUCCCUCCGUCCUAUAAUUCUUGUCGAAAUAUUACAUGUAUCUAGACGCUUUUUAGGAAUACAUACAUCCAUUUUUGGGCAAAUUUGAGACAAGAAUUAUGGGACAUAGGGAGUAGUUC
rnacentral:pre_miRNA from 1 species